AGAACGAACGCUGGCGGCAUGCCUAAUACAUGCAAGUCGAACGAACUCUUCGGAGUUAGUGGCGCACGGGUGCGUAACGCGUGGGAAUCUGCCCUUGGGUUCGGAAUAACAGUUGGAAACGACUGCUAAUACCGGAUGAUGACGAAAGUCCAAAGAUUUAUCGCCCAGGGAUGAGCCCGCGUAGGAUUAGCUAGUUGGUGAGGUAAAGGCUCACCAAGGCGACGAUCCUUAGCUGGUCUGAGAGGAUGAUCAGCCACACUGGGACUGAGACACGGCCCAGACUCCUACGGGAGGCAGCAGUAGGGAAUAUGGACAAUGGGCGAAAGCCUGAUCCAGCAAUGCCGCGUGAGUGAUGAAGGCCUUAGGUUGUAAAGCUCUUUUACCCGAGAUGAUAAUGACAGUAUCGGAAGAAUAAGCCCCGGCUAACUCCGUGCCAGCCAGCCGC
rnacentral:rRNA from 1 species